GAUGAACGCUGGCGGCGUGCCUAAUACAUGCAAGUCGAGCGAACAGACGAGGAGCUUGCUCCUCUGACGUUAGCGGCGGACGGGUGAGUAACACGUGGAUAACCUACCUAUAAGACUGGGAUAACUUCGGGAAACCGGAGCUAAUACCGGAUAAUAUAUUGAACCGCAUGGUUCAAUAGUGAAAGACGGUUUUGCUGUCACUUAUAGAUGGAUCCGCGCCGCAUUAGCUAGUUGGUAAGGUAACGGCUUACCAAGGCAACGAUGCGUAGCCGACCUGAGAGGGGGAUCGGCCAACUGGGAAUGAGGGAAGGUUCCGAAUCCCUAGGGGAGCAAGCGGAGGGGAAUCUCCGGAAAGGGGGGAAAGCUGGACGGGGCAACGCGGGGGAGGUAAGAAGGGCUUUCGGACGGUAAAACUUUGUUAUAGGGAAAAAAAAAUGGUGAAGUAACUAUGCACGUCUUGACGGUACCUAAUCAGAAAGCCACGGCUAACUACGUG
rnacentral:rRNA from 1 species